GGUCCCAGGGGCGCCGGCUGCGGCCGCAGACGGAGAAGGCGGCGGCGGAGGCACCGACUCGAGCUUGACCAGGGUCAGCGAGAUGAGCUGGAAAACAAGAGGUCACUGAUCCUUCGUGGGUCCUGGGAAUGACCACAUUAUCCAGUCCUGGAACCUCCUGUCCCAAACUGCUUCCUGCCCCAGACUCCUCCAGCAGGGUCCAAGUCUACCGUGGGUCUGUCACAGCCUGUCUUCCUCAUGCUCACCCACUUCUCCAUUGCCAAGAUGUAUUCUUUCCCCAAGUCCAAGCUCCAUCUUGGGAACCAGAAAGUGGCUGAUUGGGAAAUGAUGGAUGACCCGGCAAGCCCUUAUACACCCCUGCUGGUCCUCAAGACACCGAAGUUGGGAGCUAAUCCUUCUCUUACCUCGUACGCUGUCCAGCGAGGCUUGAAUACUGUCCCGAAGUUCAGGGUCGCUCACCCUCUCUGCCAGCUUCCUGAGGCGGUUUAAAGCCUGCCUGGCCACCUCAUGUCGUCUGACUUCUGCUCUCACUGCAGCUACAGCCAACUGCCUCUGGGCAUGCAUGUUGCCCAGACCUGUCCUGCUGGGCUAAGAGCAACCACUGGCCCUGAAGCCCAUGGCCCCACAGCCCCCAAACCCCAGAAGGCCCCUUCUGCUCAGCCUUAGAACUCCCUCCCCUGCCCGCCCUUCCGUCUGUCUGUCGACUUCACUUCCUGACUGGUGAGUUUCAAA